rnacentral:rRNA from 1 species
GAAACGACUGCUAAUGCCGCAAAAUGUCGACGGACCAAGGGGGGCUUCGGCUCUCGCCUUGUAGAUAGGCCGAAGUGGGAUUAGCUAUGUUGGUGAGGUAAUGGCUCAGCAAUGCCACAAUCCCUAAAUGAUUUGAGAGGAGGAUGAGACACACUGGGACUGACACACGGCCCAGACUCCUACGGGAUGCAGCAGUGGGGAAUAUGUGCACAAUGGGCGCAAGCCUGAUGCAGCCAUGCCGCGUGUGUGAACAAGGGCUUCGGGUUGUAAAGCACUUUCAGUCAUGAGGAAAGGUUAAAAGGUAAUACCCGUUAUCUGUGACGUUACUGACAUAACAAACA